rnacentral:rRNA from 1 species
GACAAUGCCAACACAGAAUGAGUACAAGCACAAGAAACCAGCACCAUAAACAGUCAAACAAUGAAGAGGCUAUCUGUCAUAGGGAGGCACACCACAACAACCUAUACAACUCCGAGAACUUAGAGUAGAAGGGGAAUUGUUCACAUAUGCCUCUCGAGACAAGCAUGGCCAACAUUACCACUCAUGUGCUACUGAGUGGGUAUGGAGAGAAGAUGAAAAUCGGCUAUCCUACAAACAACCCAAGGCCAUUCUUUAGGAAAACCUAGAAAACCAACUCAAUUACAAACCCACCUUUCACAUGAAAAGCAAAAAUCUCACCCACCACAUAGGGAAGAGGUGAAAAAUAUAAUGAGGAGCCAAUUUUAAUGGAGCCACACAUGGCUACCCAGCCUAAUCAAAAUUUUCUAUUCGCAACAACCAGGCGGCAUGAUAGUGACAUGGGCACAACAAAGUUUUGGGGUUUCCAUCUAGGACCACAACAACGAAGGCACAAAGGAGCGUCGAGCAAACUUAACAAUUUUAUCAUUCGGAUGGGCACGAGAGGCAGGGACAAGCAUGGCCAACAUUAUUGCUCAUGUGCUACCGAGUGGGGAUGGAGAGAAGAAGAAAAGUGGCCACCCUGCAAAUGACCCAAGGCCAUUGCUCAAGCAAACCCGACAAAAAAACUCAAUUAACAAUGCACCUUUCACACGGAAAGAAAACCUAUCACCUAUAUCAUUUGGAUGGGCAUGAGGGACCAGGAUGACCUAGGGAGCCAAAUCACAACAACCCAUACAACUCCAAGAACUUAGAGAGCAGAAGGGGAAUUGUUCACAUAUGCCUCCCAGGAAGAGCAUGGCCAACAUCACUGCUCAUGUGCUAUCGAGUGGGGAGGGAGAGAAGAUAAAAAUUGGUCACCCUACAAAUGAACCAAGGCCAUCAUUCAGGCCAACCCAAAAGAACAACUCAAUUACCAACCCACCUUUCACAAGAAAAGAAAACUUGUCACUUGUAUCAUUUGGAUGGACACGAGGGACCAAGAUGAGAUGGGGAAGCCUUGUAUCGAGGGUGCACUGUGCAUAAGCAUCGAAAGGGAAUCGGGUUAAUAUUCCUGAACCGGGACGUGGUGGUAGGCAUCAAUGUUAGGAAAUCUGAAGACAUCGUCGGGAGCCCUGGGAAGAGUUAAUCUUUUAUUUUUAACAUCUUUCCCACCCUGGAAUCGGUUCACCUGAAGCGAGGGUCUAGUAGUUGGAAGAGCAACGCACAUCUUGCAGUGUCUGGUGUGCCCUCAGUGGCCCUUGAACAUUUGGAGGACCGAGUAUCAUUCAUGCCUAGUCGUACUCAUAACUGCAUCAGGUCUCCAAAGUGAAUAGCCUCUGGUCAAUAGAACAAUGUAGGUAAGGGAAGUCGGUAAAACUAAUCUGUAACUUCAGGAAAAGGAUUGGCUCUAAGGGCUAGGCCUAAGGGUCUGCGUCCUCAAGUCAUGGGCUAUCAAUAGUCUACCUGAGCUAUUCUCAUGGAAAGGGUGGGCAGUUGCAUGUCGAUUGGGCUACGGGUGUAGAAUGCCCUUUGUUGGGGGCUUUUCCCUAGGCGGCUAAUAGUCGACUCAAAAUUAUUAUGGACAAGGGGAAUCCAACUGUUUAAUUAAAAAAAGAAUUGUGAUGGUCCCUGCAAAUGCUGACACAAUGUGAUUUCUACCUAAUUCUCUGAAUAUCAAAGUGAGGAAAUUCAACCAAGCAUGGUAAAUGGCGGGAGUAACUAUGACUCUCUUAAGGUAGUCGAAUGCCUCAUCACGGUGACGUGCAUGAAUAGAUUAACGAGAUUCCCACUAUCCCUAUAUACUAUCUAGCAAAACCACAACCAAGGGAAUGGGCUUAGCAUAAUCAGUAGGGAAAGAAGACCAUGUUGAGCUUGACUCUAGUCUGACUUUGUGAAAUGACUUGAGAGGUGUAGAAUAGUGGGAGUCGUUUUCAGUGCAAGUGAAAUACCACUACUUUUACCAUUAUUUUAUUUAUUUCGUGGGGUGGAGACAGGGCACUACCCCCAUUUUUGGCCUCAAGGCACGUUUCAGAGGGUCGAUCUGGGUAUAAUACAUUGUCUGGUGGGGAGAUUGGCUAGGGCGGCACAUCUGUUAAAAGAUAACACAGGUGUCCUAAGAUGAGCUCAACGACAAAAAAAUCUUGUGUGGAACAAAAGGGUGAAAGCUCAUUUGAUUUUGAUUUUUAGUAUGAAUAAAAAUCAUGCAAUCGUGGCCUAUCAAUCCUUUAGAUUUUUGGUAUUUGAAGCUAGAGGUGUUAGAAAAGUUACCACAGGGAUAAUUCGCUUGUGGUAGCCAAGCAUUCAUAGCAAUGUUUCUUUUUGAUCCUUUGAUGUCAACUCUUCCUAUCCUUGUGAAACAGAAUUCACCAAGUGUUGGAUUGUUCACCCACCAAUAGGGAACGUGAGCUAGGUUUAGACCAUUGUGAGACAAGAUAGUUUUACCCUACUAAUGAACCACACCACAAUAGUAAUUCAACUUAGUAUGAAAGGAACCAUUGAUUCACACAAUUGUUCAUCGCACUUGGUUGAAAAUUCAAUGGCAUUAAGCUACCGUGUGUCAGAUUAUAACUGAACACCUCUAAGUCAAAAUCCACACUAGAAUCAGUGCAUUUCACUCUUCGACUAUAUCUCGAGCCAUAGUAGGGGCAUCACUUUGUCACCCCCAGGGACCCAUGUCAUUUGUAAACCGUGACCGUGAAGCAUCUCGGUCAGGGUAGCUUUGAAGUUCAAGUCUAAACAUUCAUUAAGAAGAAUCAUUUAUAGACGACCUAAAUUCGCGAUGGGGUAUUGUAAGUGGCAGAGUGGCCUUGCCACCAUGAUCCACUGAGAUUCAUCCCUUGGUCACCU